AAAACGGUUGUUAAUAUUCUAUACCACUAGUGUAAUUUGUAAAGUUACUAAUAAUUAUAAUUUUAAAGGUAAGGAUUUUGUAUUAAGCAACAUACCAUAUUCCGAGUUUAAUGCAAUAAUGUUGUAGGAUUCCGUGGUCGUGUAGACAUAAUCUAUACUCUCAGUCGGGUAAUCAUCUCGUAAGGUACGGACCCUUCCCCACAUAUGUGUACGAAUUAGAUUUCUACUACCUCGUAGUUGGAAAUUUAGAUUCGUUAAUGUAUGCUUUUCAAAUAUUGAUUAUGAUGCACUGAACUACUGAUUGUGUCGCACCGAAAGGUGACGCGCUGAAAAACUGAAUGUGAACUACUGAAUGUGAUUAUGUGACACACUGAAUGUGAACUGACUACGCAUUGAAUUACUGAAUGUGACACACUGAAGGUGACUAACUGGAUAUGUGUUAUAUAUAUUAUUUGAUUGAUAUAUAGAUAUUGUUAAGAAAACGUAUAUUGCAUUGUUGUUGUCCCACUGAGUAAACCCCGUUUACUCAGGCGUACAUUUGCCUUCUUAUGUACAUUAGGUUGCAAGGAUAUUCAGGAAAGACUUGGAUGGAUGGUUCGAGGGAUUAAAGACGCAUAUGGAUUUUCAUAAGAUUUUAAAAUGUUUUGUACAAUAUUUUGACUCAUUUGAAAUAAUGUAAAGUUUUACAAUAUAUGGAAUGAAGUUUU
rnacentral:lncRNA from 1 species